UUUCGCAAUGCCCGAAAGGGUGACGAAGCGACGCCGCGUGAGCGAAGAAGGCCCUAGGGUUGUAAAGCUCUGUCGGGGGUUAUGAACUGUAGAUCGGUUAAUACCCGGUUUAUUUGACAAAGGCCCCCAAGGAAGCCACGGCUAACUCUGUGCCAGCAGCCGCGGUAAUACAGAGGUGGCAAGCGUUGUUCGGUAUUAUUGGGCGUAAAGAGCACGUAGGUGGUUUUGUAAGUCAGAUGUGAAAGCCUUCUGUUCGAAGGAAGAACGGCAUCUGAAACUGCAGAUCUUGAGUGUAGGAGGGGAGAGUGGAACUUCUGGUGGAGCGGUGAAAUGCGUAGAUAUCAGAAGGAACGUCGGCGGCGAAAGCGACUCUCUGGCCUAUUACUGACACUGAGUGUGCGAAAGUUAGGGGAGCAAACGGGAUUAGAUACCCCGAUAGUCCUAACUGUAAACGAUGGGCACUAAGUAGAGGGGUUUU
rnacentral:rRNA from 1 species